rnacentral:lncRNA from 10 species
GAUAGGGGCAGGUCUGCUCAUUCACUGCUGCCUUCCCUGCACCUGGUACCAUGCACACAGAAUAAGCCUAGCAGAAUGCCUGUGGAUGGACUGACCAAUGAAAGUAAUGAGGUGCUGGGACCCGAAGGCUGAGUGGCAUGAGUCAUGAGGAGGCAUAGGUGGAGUUGGAGGUGGGAGGAGGAUGAUGUAGCAAAGGGCCAGGCGGGUUCAGGCACGUUCCUGGCGGAAGGUGCUCUGAUGCUGUGGAAGACAGUUUCUUCAUGGAUUCCAACUGCUUGAUUUGUGGGAAUGACUCAACCAUGCCUGUUCUCCCCCACCUUUGAUGAGGCAUCUGACACUGAGUUAAUUCAUUUGCAUGGUGUAGACUAUAGUAAAUCCAGUGUUG